UGAAGCUCCUGGGGGAUUACCUGGGCCUGUGCCGGAGUGGCGCCCUGAAGGAGCUCAGCAAGAGGCUCAACCACAGGAAUUAUCUCUUGGAAUCUCCGCAUAGGUUCAGUGUUGCUGACCUCCAACAGCAUGUCUACCACUGCGACCUGUGCACCCAGCGCGGCUUCAUCUGCCAGAUCUGCCAGCACCACGACAUCAUCUUCCCCUUUGAGUUUGACACCACAGUCAGGUGUGCCGAGUGCAAGACCGUCUUCCACCAGAGCUGCCAGGCUGUGGUGAAGAAGGGCUGCCCCCGCUGUGCCCGCCGGCGCAAGUACCAGGAACAGAACAUUUUCGCCUGAUGCCCAUCUGCUGACCCCGCUCUGAAAGCCGGGGGUGAGUGUGGCUCAGCCAUCCCGGCUGGGUUUGCCAUCAGCCCAGGAUACUCACCGUGUCACAGCUGUGUCCCCUUGUCAGGAAGACCCUCAGAUGUGGCCAGAGCACCGGCCUCCCAGAGAAAGCCCAGGAAGUCCCCGUGGUGUCCCCUGGCCCUCCCCCCACCCCUCUGCUGCAGGAGGCGUGGCCACCACCAGAUGCUCCCUGUCUGGGGCAGGCAGGGCCGUUUACUCACCAGGCCCUGGCUCACCAGCGUCCCGGCGCCUCCGUUAGGG
rnacentral:lncRNA from 1 species